ensembl:lncRNA
UGCAUCGUUUAUUCUCCACUGUAACGGCACCCUAGGGGAACUGAUUCAUCCUAGGGAGGAGUCUGACGCGGUGUUUUGAGAGACAGAGAGCACAUUCUUCAGUGACUUGGAUUUGAAAAAGGAACGCCACACAGAGCGGCUCCUUUACUGUAAACGAAUGCAGGGUCCUGAUGAGUGAUGAGUGCAUGGGAAGGAGAUAACACUUUGGAUGAAGUCUUGAAGGUGCACCCACUAGUGGCUGGUUUCUGUUGGAAGAACUGGCAUGACGUAAUCCAGCUGUGCUGCAGACCGUGACAGAGAAGACAGCCUUCCUCUGAGACCACUCCAUCAUACGCAUGAAGUCAUUUUACAAAUGCUUUUAAGAUCUUUCCUGCGUAGCGUCCACACUUAUGAACAAUCACCUUCAG